rnacentral:rRNA from 1 species
UACGUAGGGUCCAAGCGUUAUCCGGAAUCACUGGGCGUAAAGCGUGCGUAGGUGGAUGUUUAAGUGUAUUGCGAAAUCUUGUGGCUCAACCAUAUAGACUGUAAUGCAUACUGGAUAUCUAGAGGACGGCAGAGGCAAGUGGAAUUUGUAGUGUAGCAGUGAAAUGCGUAGAUAUUACAAGGAACACCAAUGGCGAAGGCAGCUUGCUGGGCCACUCCUGACACUGAGGUACGAAAGCGUGGGGAGCGAACAGG